CAGUGUCUUCCCAGAGUCCAGCCAGUGGCCCAGAGCCCACGGCAAUGUCUCAUGUUUGUCCCUAUCACGGAUCCACACCCGGAAGGCCCAAAGGCCAGUAUUAGAAGCCAGAGCUAGAACGCUAGAGCUCCCUUGAGGAGAACAGCAGCCAUUUCCAGCGACAGCUAGGACCCGAGCACCUCUCCGAGGACUAGAAUAGCGAAGUUCGCAUCAGGAAAACCAACCGCUGCAAGCUUCUCCUAGAAAAUCAACAGGAGCGGAUCCUCCACUCCUGUCCUCUUUUAUGCUGCUGCUAACACUCCUCAGAAAAAGUCCAGGACAUCUGCAAAGGGUGAAGGUUAGGAGCUCAGCUCAGUAUGCCCAGGGCAGUCAGAAUGGAAGAAGGAACUACAGCCCGGAAGAAGAAGAAAGAAGGAAGAUGAAGGAGGAAGAAGGAGGAGGAAAAAGAAGAAAGAGGAGGAAGGAGAAAGAGGAAUAAAGAAGGAGGAGAAAAAAAAUUACUAGACAGGUGGCAACCACCUUACAGCACAAGAAGGAAGUGUGACUGAAAAUGGAGCAAAAUGUCAGAGGACCAAUACUUGAAGAAAACAAUUGGAUCAAGGGACAUUGACUCUGUGAAUCAAGCAGCUAUUAAAAAAAAAAUCAAG
ensembl:lncRNA